rnacentral:rRNA from 1 species
UACGGAGGGUGCAAGCAUUAAUCGGAAUUAUUGGGCGUAAAGGGCGCGUAGGCGGAUAUGUAAGUCAGAUGUGAAAUUCCGGGACUCAAUUUCGGAGCUGCAUUUGAAACUACAAAUCUCGAGGAUUGGCGGAGAGAACGGAAUUCCACGUGUAGCGGUGAAAUGCGUAGAUAUGUGGAGGAACACCUGUGGCGAAAGCGGUUUUCUAGCUUAUACCUGACGCUGAGGCGCGAGAGCAAGGGGAUCAAACAGG